ACUGGUUGCCAGUAUGACUGGGUUCUGGUGAGAACACUCUUCUGCAUCACAACUGGCCAUCUUCUUACUACAUUCCCACAUGGCUGAAGGAAUGGCACUCUCCCUCUGCAUCCAGCCACCAUGCUGUAAAAAGACCAAACCCCCAGAGGUCGCAACAAGGAAGGCAAAAGGGGCUGAGUUCCAGACAACAGUCAACCCCAACUGCCAGCCAUGAGUGAGCCAUUUUAGAUCUUCCAGGUGACCACAGACUCAGCUGACAUCACAAAGAACAGAAACAGUUCACAUGCAGAAUGAUAACAUUAUAAUUAAUAAAAUGGUUGUUGUUUUAAA